rnacentral:piRNA from 1 species
UUCCUACUGAUUUGGCAUUAC